rnacentral:lncRNA from 1 species
UCCGCGCAGAACAUGCUCGACGAGCGAAGUUCUAUCGUCUGCAUUAGCACAGAAGACGUCUUGGCUUGGCUGGUACAAUGCAAAUACACUACACACCAUAUGGGUUAUAUAGACUCAGUCGUACACAUUUACAACACAAAGACCAACUUGUCCAUUUUGGCUAAGUCCUCAUUCGUCAGGUUCGCUCUGAGCAUCUUCCAGGUCCCAUAAUCAAGCUGUUUAAUUGCACAUUGAACAGCUUGUGUAUGGAAGCGUGGAGACUCUGAGAGUGGAACUUGACAAACGAUGCUGAUGUGCCUCAGCAAUGAAACACAGACAGCCACCAUGUGCAUGCCUGUGGCCAUAUUGAAGCUAGAAACGGGCUCACCAGGGCGGGAUCUGCAGGGCUGAUGCGCGUGUGCAGGCCCCCGACCAGUAGAGCUGCCGCAAUGUCGGGCCCAACUUCCUCCGUGGGGAUCUCUGGAGGCUCGUAUCUCAGUGCACAAUCCUGCAAGACACUCCACAUCUCACAUUUGCCACCUAUUUUAUCUCCACCUCUUAUAUCUAAAUGCACCGCUGCAGCUGCUCGCUGCUAGUGAAUCGUCUAAAGCAGCAAACCAGCAAGUCACACAUCCUUACUCCGCAUGCAGGCACAUUGAACGCAUGGCCUGAACAGGUGAGUGCAGAAGCUUGUGAUACGUCAUAGCUUAUGCGACCUUUAUAAAUGAACAGCUCAAAGAACCAAGCUCACCUGCAGGUGGACAUCAAGGUCCAGGGGAGGGGGAGGCGGGGCCUCCGGCAGGUCGCCAGAGCAGGCGACGCUGAAAAAGUCCCCCAGCUGGCCGAGCCAGGGCAGUGUCAGAUCCCCAUCGGCCGCCGAGAAUGUCGCGCCGCGCGCCGCCACGCUUGCUGCCGCCUCGAUCAG